GAACCAGAACUUCUUCCGGAGGCAGCAGUAAGAAUAUUUGGUCAAUGGUCGGAAAGCUUGAAUCAAGCAUGCUGCGUGCAAGAAAGACGACCUACAGGUUGUAAACUGCUUUUAGUACCGAAUAAACCUUGAUACGUGUAUCAAGCUGAAUGUACAGUAAGAAUAAAGAAUCGGCUAACUUCCGUGCCAGCAGCCGCAGUAAUACGGAGGAUUCUAAGCGUUAUCCGGAUUUAUUGGGUUUAAAGGGUGCGUAGGUGGCCUGUUAAGUCAAGGGUGAAAGACGGUAGCUUAACUAUCGCAGUGCCUUUGAUACUGACGGGCUUGAAUACACUAGAGGUAGGCGGAAUGUGACAAGUAGCGGUGAAAUGCAUAGAUAUGUCACAGAACACCAAUUGCGAAGGCAGCUUACUAUGGUGUCAUUGACACUGAGGCACGAAAGCGUGGGGAUCAAACAGGAUUAGAUACCCUGGUAGUCCACGCCCUAAACGAUGAAUACUCGAUGUUGGCGAUAUACGGUCAGCGUCUAAGCGAAAGCGUUAAGUAUUCCACCUGGGGAGUACGCCCGCAAGGGUGAAACUCAAAGGAAUUGACGGGGGCCCGCACAAGCGGAGGAGCAUGUGGUUUAAUUCGAUGAUACGCGAGGAACCUUACCCGGGCUUGAAAGUUAGUGAAUAUAGCAGAGACGCUAUAGUCCUUCGGGACACGAAACUAGGUGCUGCAUGGCUGUCGUCAGCUCGUGCCGUGAGGUGUUGGGUUAAGUCCCGCAACGAGCGCAACCCCUAUGUUUAGUUGCCAGCAUGUAAUGAUGGGGACUCUAAACAGACUGCCUAUGCAAAUAGAGAGGAAGGAGGGGACGACGUCAAGUCAUCAUGGCCCUUACGUCCGGGGCUACACACGUGCUACAAUGGAUGGUACAGAGGGCAGCUACCUGGCAACAGGAUGCCAAUCUCUUAAAGCCAUUCACAGUUCGGAUCGGGGUCUGCAACUCGACCCCGUGAAGUUGGAUUCGCUAGUAAUCGCAUAUCAGCAAUGAUGCGGUGAAUACGUUCCCGGGCCUUGUACACACCGCCCGUCAAGCCAUGGAAGCUGGAAGUGCCUGAAGUGCGUAACCGUAAGGAGCGUCCUAGGUAAAGUCCGAAUGGUC
rnacentral:rRNA from 1 species